rnacentral:rRNA from 1 species
AAUAGCCUAACGGCUGAACCAGCAACUUGGAGGAAUGUAUAGCUAAAGCUAACUGUGUUUUGUAAAAAAUAUAGAUUCGAUUUAUUCGUAUAAAGUUCAAGGUAGAGUUAUGAUAAUGACAUUUUCUAUCUAUAGUCUUGACCAACAUGCGUGCCAGCAGUCGCGGCAAGACGCUAAAGACAAGUGUUAUUCAUCUUUAAUAGGUUUAAAGCGUACCUAGACGGUAAAUCAAGCCUUAAUCGGGACUAAUUUAACUAGAGUUAGAUGUAAGGGUGCAUUAACGUACUGUUGAGUGUAGAGAUGAAAUUCUGUCAUACCAGAUGAUUGGCACGGGUUUAGGCGAAAGCAUCACCUUAUGUAAUAACUGACGUUGAAGGACGAAGGCUUUGUAUCGCGAACAGGAUUAGAUACCCCAGUAGUCUAAGCAGAAAAUGAUGAGUGUCAUAGGUUAAAUAUUAUUUAGUCUAUAAAUGAAAGUGUAAGCAUUCCACCUCAUGAGUAAUUUGGCAACAUUGGAAUUGAAAUCAUUAGACCGUUUCUGAAACCAGUAGUGAAGUAUGUUGUUUAAUUAGAUGAUACACAAAGAACCUUACCACAAUUUGAAUAUUUUUAUUUUACAAGCGUUGCACGGCUGUCUACAGUUAAUGUCGUGAGAUUCUGGUUAGUUCCAUUUAAUUAACGUAAACCCUUACUUUAUUUUAUUUAUAUAAAGUUGUUCGCCGCUAGAUUGGUAUUGAUAAAAGGGGGUAA